AGCUUAUCAAUGAUGUCAAAAAUAUAAAUGUCUGAACAUAUGAGUUCUCUAGUGAUUUCACUUGUGUUACUGAGAUAAGCU